rnacentral:rRNA from 1 species
AUGCCACACAGAGUAAUUCCUCAAUUGGACCCAACACAAAGGCCAGAUUGUAUGGUGUACAAGAUGCAGGAAAAGGAGAAGUUCACAUACCCAACAGUUAGAGACUUUGGUCCUCUUCCAGAAUCUACCUUCAUUGCAAAUGCAAGAGACUCAAUCCCAGUAGCAAGAGUGACAACAGCAAUGGCAAGUGGCAGGGUCAGAAGAAAUGCAGAUGCAGCAGCAGAAUCUAGUGCCAGGAAAAGGCAGGCUAGAGGAGGGACUAGAGCUCCAAGAGGAGGGAGGAGUGCUGGAAGAGGAGGAGCUACAGCUCCAAUAGGAGGGAGGAGUGCUGGAAGAGGAGGAACAAAUGCUGCAAGAGGAGGGAGAAAUGUUGGAAGGGGUGAAACUCAUGCUACCACAGGAGGAACAGAUUCUGGCACUGGAGGAACAAAUGCUCCAAGAGGAGCUAGAGCUGCUGCCCCUGGCUUCUACAAUCUGUUGUUUGGAAAUGAUGGAGGGAGUGCACAUCAAGCGCCAUAG